rnacentral:tRNA from 1 species
GGAUGCUUAGCUCAGUUUGGUUAGAGCAUCUGCCUUACAAGCAGAGGGUCAUAAGUUCGAGUCUUAUAGCAUCCACCA